rnacentral:rRNA from 1 species
UGAGUAAUAUAUCGGAACAUACCUUGUAGUGGGGGAUAACGUAGCGAAAGUUACGCUAAUACCGCAUACGCUCUAAGGAGGAAAGCGGGGGAUCGUAAGACCUCGUGCUAUAAGAGUGGCCGAUAUCUGAUUAGCUAGUUGGUGAGGUAAAGGCUCACCAGGCGACGAUCAGUAGCUGGUCUGAGAGGACGACCAGCCACACUGGAACUGAGACACGGUCCAGACUCCUACGGGAGGCAGCAGUGGGGAAUUUUGGACAAUGGGGGCAACCCUGAUCCAGCAAUGCCGCGUGAGUGAAGAAGGCCCUCGGGUUGUAAAGCUCUUUUGUCAGGGAAGAAACGGUGAAGGCUAAUAUCCUUUGCUAAUGACGGUACCUGAAGAAUAAGCACCGGCUAACUACGUGCCAGCAGCCGCGGUAAUACGUAGGGUGCAAGCGUUAAUCGGAAUUACUGGGCGUAAAGCGUGCGCAGGCGGUUUUAUAAGACAGAGGUGAAAUCCCCGGGCUCAACCUGGGAACUGCCUUUGUGACUGUAAGGCUAGAGUGUGUCAGAGGGGGGUAGAAUUCCACGUGUAGCAGUGAAAUG